rnacentral:tRNA from 1 species
GCUUCUAUAGUAUAAUGGUUAUUACACCUCCUUUGUAAUGAGGAUAUAUCGGUUCGAUUCCGAUUAGAAGCUCA